UUCUGGAGAAACAGCAUACAGGCCAGCGGCAGGAAUAAUUGAUUCUCCAAAAUUUUAUUUGUUGAAUGUUGUUCGUGGUUGGUGGUGGCGUCAGGCUGCAGGAGAAGAUGACUUCCUACGAAAAACAUAAAAAAGAUUAAUUAUUGAUUAGAAAUUUGCUAAGCUACAUUUCAGCAAUGCAUACCUGUUUUUUAUUCCAAUUAACAGGGCUAUUCUGGAGUUGUGAUGCUCACCAGUCGCAAUUAUUUGUGAGUUUCCAGCUCCCGCGCAAUCUUACGAUGUUGGUGGUAGCCAAGUGGCAGGAUUUCUACGAAUUGAUUGAUAAUUCGUCAAAAACAAAGAAGAUAUCUAAUAGCAUUCAUUUAUUCGCACCCCGAUACCUUCAAAGAAGAAAGACGUGAGCAGAAAGGACAAGCGUGUAAAGAAACAUUGCACAGACUGUGGAGUUGUGGCUGCAGAGGCAACGGGAGUAAAAACAAUUAGCAAGACAACGCAUCUGAUUUCUUCUCGAACUUUUUUCAAGUGCCUCGUCCAAAAACCGUGUCUGCCAUGCUCGACAUUUCUCACAAUCUCCGAAAUUUCUACUAAGUUAUAUUUGGAACCGAUCCUGAAGUACGUGGAAGAUGUGAUUGCACGCAACCAACUUCCCGACAAUGCUAUCGGACGUUCAUUUUAGGUUUUGAUUCAUUCUGUGCCAACCAUGAGCCACGAUCAGUUUAUCCAAAUAUUCAAUGGCAACAUCAGGGAUAUUCUGAUGGUGGUUACUUUGUCAAGACACCGUUGCAGCUCAACGUUCUUAUUAUAAAGAUGAUAUGGAUGCUGAUGGUCAUGAUAAUUAUAAGAAAAGUUGCCAAAAUGAACAAAAAUAAAAAUGCAUAUAUUUGUUUAUUUAUGACUUUUUAUUGCAUUUGGAAUGACAACAAUUGUAAAAGUAAUCGAAUGAAAAUUACUUUUCCUUCUCCCUGCAAAACUUUUUUGUGAGCUUACCUGAUUCAGCAGCUAUUUAUGUGUUCGUUAAACUUCUUUUAUCAAUAACAAAUCAACUGGUGAAGCGAUAUUUUACUCCAGUCAAAAAAACUCUUGACUUUUUCCAAACCUAUAGUGGCAAGCUUUGAGCAUGCUGCAGAUCAGCUGUAUUCCAGAUACCAUCCUGGAGAGUAGGCCAAAAAUUGCCUAUCUGAAUAUUCCGAAACUAAUACAAACAGAAAUCAAUCAGAGAGAUUACGCAACGACGAAAAAUGUAAUACGCGCGAGAACGAUGAAAUGGCUGCCUAAUUUCAUCGAGAUGGUAGGACACGUCUGCGCUAGCAUUGAAUCGAUGUCACUCUUUGGAAAAGAAUCGCGUGCACUCAACAUUUGCUUGAAGAUAAUGUCGUUAAUUAAGAGUUCUCUUUGGGAAUCGAUUCAGUAUGUCAUCAAUCAAACGUCCAACAAAAAAAUCUGUUAUUAUGGAGUUGUAGAAAAGUAUGUUCCCACAAUUUUAAAGAAUUUUUGUCACAACCCAGUCUGGAACACUCGUUUGGGGGCUCGAACUCAUCGUGAAGGUGUUGAGCUUUGCAAACGCUUUGCUCAGGUGGUGUGUGUUGCAAGAAUUUCAUGGCUUACUAUAUUCUUUCAAAUUUGCAUUGAAAAUUUUAAGAAGCUGAAUUUCAGAAUCAGCAGUUGCUGAAAACUCGUGUUAACCUGGAAGCUGAUUCGAGAAGAAAUGCAAUAAAAUUUUUACUGAUCGAGAGAAUUUUAUGGGCAUGAGGCGCUCAUUUCCGGAGGUGUUUACUUUUUUGUCAAUUGAUGGUACAGAACUUAGAGCUAUAUCCCCAGGCUGAUAAAAAGUGAAAACAAAUGGACUAAGCUAUUAAUAUUACAAAGAAGGCUAAGAAGAAAAAAGCUUAGAAAAACAUUCAGGAAAAUAAUUAUAAUUUUAUAUUUUUUUUUUCAAAUUAUUUGAAUUAAUUCGAUUUGUACAGUAAUAAUGCAAAAUAAAAUCAAAAAUAAAGAUUGAUUUUAUUUUUAAAAUAAAAAUAGUAACCAAGUUGUACCUAAUUGUAUUUUGGUUUUUUGUAUCACCAGUUGAAUAGAAGUAGAAAUCGAAAAAGUUGAAUUUCGUUUCAAAAUGUCUAUCCACCGGUGGACAAUACUGAUCUAACUCUGUUCUCGUCUCCAUCGGGG